rnacentral:tRNA from 1 species
UAUAUUUAGGUGUAAGGCAUAGAAAUUUUUGGAAUUUCAGGAAAUAAUAAAAUUAUUAAAUAUAA